CUAUUCCCAGAUGAACCCAUUUUUCCAGGAAAAAUAACUGACGGUUUUUAUUUUUAACAUCAAUGUUACUUGGUGACCAUGCAUGGACCCAGAGAAGACCCCACCUCUCCAAGCUGCUGAGCAAACAGAACUGGACUGUUCCUCUCGGAUCUGUGCCUGCUGGAAAUGCGCUGGCCUUGGUCUGAUUUCUUCUGUAAGGACCAGUAAUUAGAAAUUUUUAUUCUCGUCUAGACAAAACCACUAAGAAUGGAUUCCAGUCAUCAAAGUGCCAUGAGGGGCGCCCACCGGGGACCCUGGCCAGUUUUAGGUUUCAAAACCAUGGUUGUGGUGCACCUGGGCAGCUCAGUUUAAGCAGCCAAAUCUUGAUUUUGGCUCAGGCCAUGAGAUCAAGGCCCAGGCGUGUUGCUGAGGGCCAGGCCACACGUGGGGUGACACGGACCCAGGAGAGAGGAACAGACGCCUCACUUCUGGAAAGACACUACAGCACUCGCUGGAAAUCCCCAUGGAGCAAUUACAGAAGCUUUUCCUAACACU